AUUGCAUUGUUGCAGGUAACGUUCUUCUGUUAAGAAACAACUUAAAUCUGAGUUCAGAUAUUGCUGAAGUCUCACAGGAGAAAUUGCUUUCAUUGGUUGCUGAACGAUUAAUUGAUUCAAAUAGUAACGUGAAUAACAAAGAUGCAGGUUAUGUUGAAAAUCAACAACAGAACAUUGCUGAUGCAAUUGACUUGCUUCCUAGGCUUGCUACUGGCAUUGAUGUAAAUAUAAAAUUUAGGAGAAUAGAUGAUUUUGAAUUCACUCGAGAGUGUGCAAUAUUUGAUCUGCUGGACAUCCCUUUGUAUCAUGGCUGGAUUGUUGAUCCUCAGG